rnacentral:lncRNA from 1 species
GGUGCGACCCAUGGCGAUGAGAUGAAGGAAGAUUGAGGAGUUUGUUGAAUUGUAGGGUUUGUUUUUAUUUUGAGUUUUCUGUGUUUAUUACUGCUGUUGUUGAAUUUUGAAUUUUGGUUUAUUAAAAUUGUCUUGUUAAUUGCAUGAAUACUCUGUGAAAUUUAAGUGUGUUACAAUGAAUUUGGUUUACCAACCUUUUUGUUUAAUUGUUCUUACUCUUAAGUCAAGCUUAAAG